rnacentral:SRP_RNA from 1 species
GGACAGGUCUGCGCGGCGGAAGGCCGUGAACCAUGUCAGGCGGGGAACCGAGCAGCAUUAAGCGGUUGUUUCCGGGCGAUGCAGGCUGCCUGUCCGCU